rnacentral:pre_miRNA from 1 species
GAUCAUGCGGGUUUGACAAAAGAGUCUCUUACAGAGAUCUUUGGCAUUCUGUCCACCUCCUCUCUCUAUAUGUAUAUGUAUGAGCGCUGUCUUGUGAGGGGAGGUGGACAUAUUGCCAACAGAGAUCUGUUAGGGUUUCUUUGUAAAACCCCUCAUGAUU